GACGAACGCUGGCGGCGUGCCUAAUACAUGCAAGUAGAACGCUGAAGGAGGAGCUUGCUUCUCUGGAUGAGUUGCGAACGGGUGAGUAACGCGUAGGUAACCUGCCUGGUAGCGGGGGAUAACUAUUGGAAACGAUAGCUAAUACCGCAUAAUAGUAGAUGUUGCAUGACAUUUGCUUAAAAGGUGCAAUUGCAUCACUACCAGAUGGACCUGCGUUGUAUUAGCUAGUUGGUGGGGUAACGGCUCACCAAGGCGACGAUACAUAGCCGACCUGAGAGGGUGAUCGGCCACACUGGGACUGAGACACGGCCCAGACUCCUACGGGAGGCAGCAGUAGGGAAUCUUCGGCAAUGGACGGAAGUCUGACCGAGCAACGCCGCGUGAGUGAAGAAGGGUUUCGGAUCGUAAAGCUCGGUUGUAAGAGAAGAACGAGUGUGAGAGUGGAAAGUUCACACUGUGACGGUAUCUUACCAGAAAGGGACGGCUAACUACGUG
rnacentral:rRNA from 1 species